rnacentral:rRNA from 1 species
CAGCAGCCGCGGUAAAACGUAGGGGGCGAGCGUUGUCCGAAGUUACUGGGCGUAAAGAGCGCGUAGGCGGGUCUUUAAGUGAGGGGUGAAAGGUUCAGGGCUCAACCCGGACACUGCCUUUCAUACUGGAGACCUUGAGUGUGGGAGAGGCGAGUGGAAUGGUCGGUGUAGCGGUGAAAUGCGUAGAUAUCGAUCGGAACACCCAUGGCGAAGGCAGCUCGCUGGCCUAUAACUGACGCUGAGGCGCGAAAGCGUGGGGAGCAAACAGGAUUAGAUACCCGUGUAGUCCCUGUCUCUUAUA